ACUCGCCGGAGCCGAGACUGUUCGGGGCUCUCUGAUUGGUGCACCGGCUGCUUAGGCCCGCCUUCUCAGUAGGGGCGGAGCAGAGGGAAAAGAAGAGGGGCCCCGAGAAGGCAGUGGGAGGUCGCGGGGCGGGAAUCCGCGGCAGGCAGGCAAGCAAGGAGGAGGGUGCGAGCAGAAGAAAAAGGAGGAACAAUGAAGAGAAAGAACCAAUAUGAGCACUAUGGCUGAAGUGGCCCUCCACCUCCUAGACUUGAAUUCUUUGACUACCCCGGAAGGUAGCGAGUCUUAUUUUUCAGAAAACACACUCAAAGAGGUGGCCGGAACUAGACUGAGCAGGUCUUUGGCUCCGAAUCUCUAGUUCUCAACACUGAGGAGGAAAGUGUCUGCAAAGGCUUAGCCAAGGGGGUGAAUAGAAGCAGUUCAUCAUGCAACCUGUGAUAAAAUCAGCUUCUCCCGUCCCAAACUGCUAAGUCUUUUGUUGUCAGUUAGCCUCUUACCUAAUUUGGUUGGUCUCCCUGUUUGUAUUAACUGUCCUGCGCAGAGACCACUUCUGGAGCCUUUUAGUUCCCAGACCAUUGACAUAUUUUAGUUCAUUCAAAUGUUUGGGGGCAGUCUGCCCUGAACCAGGCUCGGAGUUAGGAGUGAGCCCGGUGGGCCUGCCCUCUCCAGCCUCUCCAAGCUCAAGACCAGGUGGAGAAGCAGACAGGGGCACAGACAGAGACAAAUAUAGUGGAUGAGAACUAGUAAUAGGGAACAUAACAGGGAACUGGAGGAGCUUGGUGGAGGCAGGGGGUCAAGGUAGAGGUGGACUCAGAGAAGGCUUCUCUCACGAAGUUAUCUAAGCUACUGCAGGAUGCAUACCCUGAGUUAGGCAGGGUCCAGGCAGAGGGAGCUUCAAGAGGCCUGGGCAGCCAGAGAAUGCAAUGCCCACAGAAAGCUGGAAAGAGCCUGUGGCUCCCUGACUCCAGGAGGGGAUUUCAAAGGAGGGAGCCGGCCAAGGAUGUUCCAAGGCCUAGGUGGCUUCUCAGCUGUGACCGAUUUUGAAUUUGACUGAAUACCACUAGGUUCUCCAAGGCAGGAAGACCUGGCACAUAGCUAGAGGCCAGUGAAUGAGUAUUGAAGGAAAGAGAAAGAAACAAAUGAACACAGAACACUACUGACACGAACGCUUCCACGGCGUAAGCAGCACACCAGGAUUUAGGGCCCCUUUUGCUCCUGGAAGGCAGAGAGCUCCAAGGUACAUGCUUGUGGUCACCACAUCAAGCUCAGUGGAAGCACCCCCCAAACUGUGCCACUGUCCCAUCCUCCUCCCCCACCUCCUCCCCAUCAUCACAGCUGAUACUCCCUGAACGUUUAGUAUGUGCCCCAGGCACUGACCUAAGGUUUUCAACAUAGGAAUUCUUUCAGUCCUCACCAUAGUCCCAUGAGGUAUGUCCCAUUUCACAGAUGAGGAAACUGAGACACAGACAGAUGACAUCAUGCCCGGAGUCACAAUGAUGGAGCUGACUUCAAAUCCAGGCAGUCUGAAUCCUGGGCCUGAGCUCCUCACCACCGUGCUAUCCAGACUUUCUCUUUCUUUUUAAGUCAUUGCUGAUUUCAAAUGUAGCACAUGGUCCUCAGUGGAAUGAAACUAGAAAUCAAUGGCAAAAGGAAAACUGGAAAUUCACAAGUAUGUGGAAAUUAAACAACAUUCUUAAGCAACCAAUGGGUCAAAGAAGAAAUCACCAGGGAAAUAAGAAAAUAUCUUAAGAAUGAAUGAAAACAAAAACACAACAUACCAACAUUUCUGGGAUGCAGCGAAAGCAGUACUAAGAGUAAAUGCUUACGUUAAAAAAGAAAGAUCUCAAAGCAAAAGUAACACAUGCUUAUCAUUGAAAAAGCCAAGCAUUGCACAAUUUUAUGCUAUAGAAAGUGAAAGCUGAAAAAGUGAAGGGCAUCCCUGAGAUGCCCUUUCCCUCUGUUAAGUGUAGUAUAAAUGCUUCAGGUAGUUUUUUCAAAGCUUAUAGUAAUGGUAUCUUAAAAAAAAAAAAGAAUAAUCCAGUACUCAUUGUUUUGUCACUUUUAUCUUGUUUUAUCUAAAAGUGACUUUUUUUUUUAAUGGCAGUACUGGGGAUUGAACCCAGGAACUUGUGCAUGGUAAGCAUGCACUCUACCACUGAGCUCUACCCUCCCCUAAAAGUGACUCUUAGAGGCUGCUCCUUGCUAGAACAUUCUCUUCUGGGACUGCAGUUGUCCAUAGUGAGGGUGUCCACACUGAAUGUAGCCAGUCCCAUCAGGAUAGGAUUGGAACGCCUGCAGUUUUUAACUAUUUCAAGCCACUGCAGUGAGCGUUCUUAUAAAUGCUCACUGUGUGCUGGUGGAGGAUCUCAGGGGGGUAAUUUUCUGAAGUAGAUCCUUUGGGCCAAAGGUCAAGAGCAUUUUUAACAUUCCCUCCAGGAGGGCAAAACCAGCUUUGCCUGGAGAGCAGGAGAGGGUCAGUUCCAGCUGGUCAGUUUGAGCCCAAACCACUGUCUUGCCCUGCUGAGCAGUGCCGGAUCCUCAAGUGUGACCCAGCCUCUGUUACAGUCCAGAAACUGAUCAUUCUUGUCAAGAAUAUCAUCAGAUGCUGAGGCUGAAGCACUUCUCAAAAACUCCAGCGUUUGCUCUUGAACUCAUUUAGGGAAACCAGCAAUGUCCACAAUAAGACCUUGCAAAGAGGCCUGGCUGCAGGGCAUAGACCACGGUGGGGUGGGUGGGGGGCGCUCCUGAGGUGAAGCUGGCCUCUGAUUAGCAAGCAUCUCUACGCAUGGAUAGCUGGGUCGGCUGAAUUCCCUUCUAGAAUUUAGCGAGAGGCUUUUUCCCUGAAUCAUCAU